CCCCUUUUCACGGCGUAAGGAAAUCCCUAUAUCUGCCUUGCCGGGCUUCGGUCCGGCUAUGGCGAUAAACGGUCGAUGAAAUAAGCCUAUUGGACCCGGGGGCGGUACCCGGCGCCUCCACCAAAAACCGGUCUACCGAGACGACCGGCUUCUGAUGGGGGCGAAAUAGGAUCGACAAGGGUGUAAAGAUCGAACUUUUGCUCGGCAUGAUACCGCCGUUAUCGGGUCACAAUAGUAGUUGCAAACGACAACUAUGCGGAAGCUCGUCUCGCUGCCUAAUGGCGGUGUGACACUUCAAAUCAAGUCCUAAGGGGUCGCACUCUUAGGCGGGGUCCGAAGGCACCUGGCAACAGAAGCCUUCACC
rfam:Rhizobium sp. NT-26 chromosome, complete genome.